ACCUACGGGAGGCAGCAGUAGGGAAUCUUCCUCAAUGGGCGAAAGCCUGAUGGAGCAACGCCGCGUGGGUGAAGAAGGUCUUCGGAUCGUAAAACCCUGUUGUUAGAGAAGAAAGUGCGUGAGAGUAACUGUUCACAUUUCGACGGUAUCUAACCAGAAAGCCACGGCUAACUACGUGCCAGCAGCCGCGGUAAUACGUAGGUGGCAAGCGUUAUCCGGAUUUAUUGGGCGUAAAGGGAACGCAGGCGGUCUUUUAAGUCUGAUGUGAAAGCCUUCGGCUUAACCGAAGUAGUGCAUUGGAAACU
rnacentral:rRNA from 1 species